rnacentral:rRNA from 1 species
UACGUAGGGGGCUAGCGUUGUUCGGAAUCACUGGGCGUAAAGGGCGCGUAGGCGGCUUUGUAAGUCGGGGGUGAAAGCCUGUGGCUCAACCACAGAAUUGCCUUCGAUACUGCAUGGCUUGAGACCGGAAGAGGUUAGUGGAACUGCGAGUGUAGAGGUGAAAUUCGUAGAUAUUCGCAAGAACACCAGUGGCGAAGGCGGCUGACUGGUCCGGAUCUGACGCUGAGGCGCGAAAGCGUGGGGAGCAAACAGG